GGUGGUGGAGGGACCGAGCGGGAGGCGGUGGGGGGUGUGUUGCUCUGGCUCUCCCCUGCUUUCUCCGGACACGGGUUUUAGAGCUGCUGUGUUAACCAUCAACGAUUAGUGAGUGGAAUUAGACAUUGCCCUGCCUUUAGAGAACCUGUGGGGAGACUGAGAAGUACACAGACCAUCUGAACAUGUCACGAUAAUUCUAUGCAUGGUAUGGGGACACAUGAGUUGGGCAACCAACCUGUUUGGAGUGGCCACAGGAAAAGGAGAGGGAAAAGGAGAAGAGCUGAAGAUUGAACUGAGACUUGAAAACUGGACAGAACCAAGGUAUUUAGCCAGAAGAGGGGUAAGGGAGAUCAUCACAUAAUGUUUUCUUCUGCUUAAGGGGAAAAUGGGGUUAUCAUCCUAGAAUCAUUAUUCUCAAGUUUACACCUGCUUACUCUCAGGACUAUGGAUUUGAUGGAGUUUGCUCCUGUAAUUAGGUGAUAUUACACGGCACGGUUGACUUUAAGAAAAGAGAUUAUCUAAGUGGACCAAACCUAAUGACACGAACCCUUUAAAAGCAGAGUCUUCUCUGGCUGGAAGCAGCAGAGGUCAGAGAUUCGAAGUGCAAGAAGGAUUUGAUGCACUGUUGCUGGGUUGAGAAUAGAGAAGGUUUUGUGGAAAGGACCUGGGAGCAGCCACUAGGAGCUUAGAGUGACCCUCAGCUAAUAGCCAGAAAACAAGGACUUCAGUCCUGCAACUGAAAGGAACCAAAUCCUGCCUGCAGGAAUGGGUUUGGAAGCAGAUCCUUCCCCAGAGCUUCCAGAUGAGAACUGAGCCCGGCCAACAGCUUGAUUUCAGUCUUGUGAUUCCCUACGCAGAGAGCUCAGCCAUGCCAGACCAUGCUGCUUACCCACAGAACUGGGAGCCAAUAAAAAGGAGCUGUUUAAGCUGUUAAUUAUGUGGUGAUUUGUUAUGCAGCAAUAAAAAAUUAAUGCACUCUACUUUUUCUGCUAAAUCUUCAAGAUUGGGACAAGUCUUUUACUGUUCUGGUCUUAAUUUUCAUUUGAAAGAGGAUUAGAUAUGAUCUCUAAGGGCCCUUCCGGCUCAGAUUAGAUGAUUGUAAGAUUCGUAGAAAGAUGUUUCUGUAAGGACUGGAAGAAAAUAAAAUAGCAUGUGAAAGCACUUUUAUCUUGAGGAAACAUUACACAAAUGAAAGGGAAUAUUAUUUAAUCAAGCAAUGUUUCUAGACAUCUGAUGGCCUCUUGGGAUCUUAGGGAUAGUUUCUCUUACAUAUUUUAAGGCCACAGCUAUGGAUAUGUGGGGAAGACACAGAAUUUCUCUCUGACUCCUGAAGGCUGCCCCGUCAACAGUGCAAGGAGGGACGGCACUUGAGUUCAACGUCCUGAGUGCGCACGAGAAGGGC